AACGAACGCUGGCGGCGUGCUUAAUACAUGCAAGUCGAGCGAGAAAGUUCCCUUCGGGGAGCGAGUACAGCGGCGAACGGGUGCGUAACACGUGGGCAAUUUGCCCCUAAGUCCGGGACAAGCCACCGAAAGGGGGUCUAAUACCGGAUGUGGUUGUUCCGAGGCAUCUCGGGACAAUCAAAGGUAGCCACUACACUAUGCUAUCGCUUGGGGAUGAGCCCGCGGCCCAUUAGCUUGNGGCGGGGUAACGGCCCACCAAGGCUACGAUGGGUAGCCGGCCUGAGAGGGUGAUCGGCCACACUGGGACUGAGAUACGGCCCAGACUCCUACGGGAGGCAGCAGUAGGGAAUAUUGCGCAAUGGACGAAAGUCUGACGCAGCAACGCCGCGUGAGCGAUGAAGGUCUUCGGAUCGUAAAGCUCUGUCAGA
rnacentral:rRNA from 1 species